UAGUCAUGCCCUUAUAUCCUUACUUCUCUCUGCACAACCAAAGUUGGAAUUCAUAGAAGCCUUUAAGCUCCAAGAGUAGUAUCAAAGUAAGGGAGAGCGUGGGAAACCUAGGGCGUAAAGUUAGAGUGAAGAUUGUGCUUCGAGGGUGAGUUUUCUUUGGUUUUUCUCAAUAGAAAAUGCUUUAAGACCAUGGAUUUUUACACAUAUGUGUGCUAUAUUAUGUGAGGAUAUGUUUUAUGAUUUUGGAUGAUUAUUUUGGUAGAGUUUAUUGGGUGAAAAACCGUGCAUGAGGUAAGGCAGCGAAUCUGCCAUAAGCACACUGCUCCGGCAGUGUAUUGCAAGGCGAUGCCAGCCAUCCAAACGGUUCCCAAAAAUUCCCAAAUUAAUUGUGUAUCGUGUUUAAUAUGUUUUCUAUACUAUGGUAAAAUUUAAGAAUAUUUAGAGCUCUCAUGUUUUAUUUAUGAAAUUUUAAACAUCACUGCCCAUCUGGAAUAUAUUUUUGGUAAACCAUCUUUGGGAGGCCAUAAGUCAAGUUUAAAUCGGUGAACAUCUUUGAAACUUGAGUAUGUCACUCUAGACUCCCGUAUCUUUCUUUUGGAAUUGGCCUCACCAUUUUUGAGUAAGGAAAACAACCGGUAUAAAUUUUUGAAAUCUAGUUCUUAUUCCUUGAGCCAUCCAGUAGGUUUAACAAACCUACGACUUUGAGGUCUCAAAGGCCGACUUAAAUCUUUGAUUCUCAAGCCUAUCUUUCUACUGAAUAUUCACUGACAUGUUGGGAACUUACUUGUUCAGUUUUAGAAUUUUUGGUGAAGCCUAAAGUGGUUUUUCCGAUUUAUGUUUUGAAUCUGCCAAACUUGAACUCUUUUUGUGCACUGAACUUUAGACAGUCAUAUCUUCUAAACCAUGAAUUGUCUUGGAGUAAAUCCAACUGGAGAGUGUUAUGAUCUCUCCCUAGUUUCCGAAUUGACCCUUGGGGUUCCCAGUGGAGUUUUGUAAAGGGAGAUAUGAAUUUUUAAAGAAAGCCCACUGACUUGGUUGUAAUCUGGAAAUCUGAAAUUUUUAUAUUUUUGUUUGUUAAAUACCCAUCUUUGAGAGGACAUAUCUUGCUCGUUUGAACUGUUUUUCAUUUGAUUCAAAUUGGAGAAUGAUCCUUGAAAUGUCUAGUUUCCAGAAUGUCUUUUGGAGCCUUAUUUGGAGAUCCGAGGCAGAUUUGGUGUCUGUUGCAAAACAAUCCCUUAAGUGCUCAAGUUGUUGAAUUAUUUUCUAUGUAUCAAAGUUUAUUUUAAAGGAUGUUUCAUGAAAGAUUUAGUAUAUGUGCGUAACGAGUUUGGGGCUUUGAUUUUUUUUAUCUCACUUGGGCUUUUAUUUUUAAUUCAAAGUGGACUGCCUUAUUAAAUAAAUUGGGCUGCAUUUUUACUAAGAAAAAUGACUUGGUUUAAAUUUACUAAUUAGACUCUGAUAAAGUUUAAUUAUUUAUUUCUUUAAAGAAUGAUUUCAUAUUAAUAUUAAUUAUUAUUAUGUGCAUAUUUUAAGUAAUUACUUAUUAUAUGCUAAGCAUGACAUGAAAUUGCAUUAUAUUUUGCAAUAAAAUUAUUUAUGAUUUAAUUGGUUUUUAUUAUAAUUCCAAUUAUUAAAGAAAGAUGAGUAAGAAUAUUGUUGGUGUUCUUAACUCAAGAGAAAUGUUUUCAAUUAUUUAUUUAUUAAAUUUUGAAAACCCGGCUAAGUGAAUUAUAAAAUAUUAAGCACUACACCAUGACGUAAGAUUAGCUUCACGAGACCUAUUAAGAAUAGAAUUUCUUGUAGGCUUUGUGACCAGGGGGAUUAGCGCUGCUUUCCCAAGACAGGUUUAUAUGUGAUUAUGAUCUUCAGGCUUUGCCUAACCAGGUUGGCUGGCCGGUGCUGACGGGACGGAGCUGAGGCUAGAGAUAAAUUCCUAUGUUAGACUUCCGUUGUAGCAAUUACUCUUAUACAUCUUUUGUUUUCUCAACUUAAGAUGACUUCAUGUCGAGCUUAAAUUUGAAAUUCUAGUUUUAUGUUAAUGAAUGUUGGUUGUCAGAAACAUGAAACAAAACUUGUGAUCCAAAGGGGCAUAGCCCGACUCUCUAUCUUAUUAUUCGGGUUUUAACAAGGUUGUUCCUUGUUUAUUUCUAUGAAUUAUUCACACCUCGAUUAUAUU